rnacentral:tRNA from 1 species
GGGCGAUUAGCUUAGCGUUAGAGCAUCUCGUUUACACCGAGAGGGUCGGCGGUUCGAUCCCGUCAUCGCCCA